rnacentral:lncRNA from 1 species
UAACAAUACAUCACCAACAAACAUUUCCCCCAUAUCCUCACUUCUUACAUAAUAUAGUUUAUAAACUAGACGCGUUUACUAGGAGGGUAGACAAUCGAUACGCCACAGAAAACCUAGCUAGACGCGUCAACCUUCUACCGUGUCCUACCAUCCCCAUAAGGUUGUUUAUCCAUUUUCUGUCCUCGGUGUACGACGAUCAAGGUUUUUCCUCGACCAAGUCUCCCCAUCGUUAUUCAAACAUUUAACACCAAGAGUGGCGAAUGCUCAGAAAGAUGGAACAUUCUGGAACAUUCUAGAACAUUUUGUUUACACUGACAGGUCUUGUAUGAAUUCACACUGAACAAGUUUAUUCACCAACAUAACCGAAGCACGUGCACAGAGUGUCACGUUACAAAGGGUCUCAGCGCAUGAUCUCCUGGUGUCCAGUAGUCUCAGUUUGGUAUCAAAUGGCUGCCAAUGAUAGGGCCCGUCACGAGCCGACAGCGAAGAGUCGUUACAAACCUAUUUACCCGUGCAUGAUCAUGGAGACCAUGAAGAUAUUUUUAAGCAACGUCUUGCUCCAUCUUUUCGUGCACUCCUAAUCGAUCAGUCGUUUCUGUUUCUUUCGAAGUCACUGAAGCAGAAAAUCUUUCAUUCCUCAGGGAAUUGAAGGGCCAUCGACACGUCCACCUGCUGAUGGAGCCCUGAUCCUCCUGGAAUCAUCCUCGGCAACAAACUCGAUUUUUCCUUUCUUUGUGAUGAUGGCUGAGUUACGGUGUCGAUGUUAACCUAUUUCUGUGGAAUUUUGAUUUAUGGAAUUUUGAUCUGUGGAAUCUUUUUCAGGUUUUUAUGGUGGGUUUGUGUCAAUCAUUGCAGUUAUUGGUUUAUGGAAAUGUAACAUGUACUAAGCAUACAAGCACAGGUACAUUGAUAUAACUUGCACUGGUAUGAUUAAUGACUGUUGACGUUUAUAUCACUCAGAGAGUAUGGAACUCCGUAUAGGUAAAGAGAGAGUAUUAGGUACAUACACUAUGUCCAUUAUGACUUUGUAAACAAAACUUAACCUCUAAAUACCACAGGACUUUGUAAGGACAUAGGUUAUGCCAGGAACCCAAUGACAUAUAUAUACAAUGUGCACACACUAUAUCCAUUAUGACUUUGUAAACAAAAUUUAACUUCUAAAUACCACAGGACUUUGUAAGGACAUGGGUUAUUCCAGGAACCCAAUGACACAUAUGUACAG